UACGUAGGCAGCGAGCGUUGUUCGGAAUUACUGGGCGUAAAGAGUGUGUAGGCGGUGUUCCCAGUCUGUUGUGAAAUCUCCCGGCUUAACUGGGAGGGUGCAGCGGAAACUAGAAUGCUAGAGGGUGGGAGAGGUAAGCGGAAUUCCUGGUGUAGCGGUGAAAUGCGUAGAUAUCAGGAGGAACACCUGUGGUGUAGACAGCUUACUGGACCACUUCUAACGCUGAGACACGAAAGCGUGGGUAGCAAACAGG
rnacentral:rRNA from 1 species